rnacentral:rRNA from 1 species
ACGCUGGCGGCAGGCCUAACACAUGCAAGUCGAGCGGUAGAGAGAAGCUUGCUUCUCUUGAGAGCGGCGGACGGGUGAGUAAUGCCUAGGAAUCUGCCUGGUAGUGGGGGAUAACGUUCGGAAACGGACGCUAACACCGCAUACGUCCUACGGGAGAAAGCAGGGGACCUUCGGGCCUUGCGCUAUCAGAUGAGCCUAGGUCGGAUUAGCUAGUUGGUGGGGUAAUGGCUCACCAAGGCGACGAUCCGUAACUGGUCUGAGAGGAUGAUCAGUCACACUGGAACUGAGACACGGUCCAGACUCCUACGGGAGGCAGCAGUGGGGAAUAUUGGACAAUGGGCGAAAGCCUGAUCCAGCCAUGCCGCGUGUGUGAAGAAGGUCUUCGGAUUGUAAAGCACUUUAAGUUGGGAGGAAGGGUUGUAGAUUAAUACUCUGCAAUUUUGACGUUACCGACAGAAUAAGCACCGGCUAACUCUGUGCCAGCAGCCGCGGUAAUACAGAGGGUGCAAGCGUUAAUCGGAAUUACUGGGCGUAAAGCGCGCGUAGGUGGUUAGUUAAGUUGGAUGUGAAAUCCCCGGGCUCAACCUGGGAACUGCAUUCAAAACUGACUGACUAGAGUAUGGUAGAGGGUGGUGGAAUUUCCUGUGUAGCGGUGAAAUGCGUAGAUAUAGGAAGGAACACCAGUGGCGAAGGCGACCACCUGGACUGAUACUGACACUGAGGUGCGAAAGCGUGGGGAGCAAAC